rnacentral:rRNA from 1 species
UACGUAGGGGGCUAGCGUUGUCCGGAAUCAUUGGGCGUAAAGAGCGCGUAGGCGGCCAGACAAGUCCGGUGUGAAAGUCACAGGCUCAACCUGUGAAUGCCGCUGGAAACUGUCUGGCUAGAGUCCGGAAGGGGCGAGUGGAAUUCCUGGUGUAGCGGUGAAAUGCGCAGAUAUCAGGAGGAACACCUAUGGCGAAGGCAGCUCGCUGGGACGUUACUGACGCUGAGACGCGAAAGCGUGGGGAGCAAACAGG